rnacentral:rRNA from 1 species
AUUGAACGCUGGCGGCAGGCCUAACACAUGCAAGUCGAACGAGUGGCGGACGGGUGAGUAAUGUCUGGGAAACUGCCUGAUGGAGGGGGAUAACUACUGGAAACGGUAGCUAAUACCGCAUACCCUACAUGUGCCCAGAUGGGAUUAGCUAGUAGGUGAGGUAACGGCUCACCUAGGCGACGAUCCCUAGCUGGUCUGAGAGGAUGACCAGCAACACGGGAACUGAGACACGGUCCAGACUCCUACGGGAGGCAGCAGUGGGGAAUAUGGCACAAUGGGCGCAAGCCUGAUGCAGCCAUGCCGCGUGUAUGAAGAAGGCCUUCGGGUUGUAAAAUACUUUCAGCGGGGAGGCGUUACCCGCAGAAGAAGCACCGGCUAACUCCGUGCCAGCAGCCGCGGUAAUUC